CCUACGGGUGACUGCAGUGGGGAAUAUUGCACAAUGGGGGAAACCCUGAUGCAGCGACGCCGCGUGAGUGAAGAAGUAUUUCGGUAUGUAAAGCUCUGUCAGCAGGGAAGAAAAUGACGGUACUUGACCACGAAGCCCCGGCUAACUACGUGCCAGCAGCCGCGGUAAUACGUAGGGGGCAAGCGUUAUCCGGAUUUACUGGGUGUAAAGGGAGCGUAGACGGCAGGGCAAGUCUGGAGUGAAAGGCGGGGGCUCAACCCCCGGACUGCUCUGGAAACUGCCAGGCUGGAGUGCAGGAGAGGUAAGUGGAAUUCCUAGUGUAGCGGUGAAAUGCGUAGAUAUUAGGAGGAACACCAGUGGCGAAGGCGGCUUACUGGACUGUAACUGACGUUGAGGCUCGAAAGCGUGGGGAGCAAACAGGAUUAGAUACCCUAGUAGUC
rnacentral:rRNA from 1 species